AAGAAAAUAUUUGAUCAUAUAUAAUGUAAAAUAAACCCUAGCCCGAUGCAUGUUUGAUGUGCCUCAAGAUCUUUUUAGCUAUAUUCAAUAUUGAUCUCUCAGUUGCUCCAUGAACUAAUUCAAAAGCUAUAUUGAAUAAGAUAAGUAUUGUCUUAUCAGAAUUUGGUACAUAAGUCUUCGACAAGUCUUCUAUACAUGGUUAGAUUAGGAAUCACUUUACCAUCAUCCUUUAACUGAUUAACAUUUUAAUUAAGUGGUAACUUUGAUGCCCUUGCAACCAAAUUUAAUGUGUCAUUCAAUAAAUCCAGGGUAAAUUUGUAUUUGCAGUUGUGAAUUCCUUUUUUAGAUUAUUUAACUUCGAUG
rnacentral:lncRNA from 1 species